CAUGGAAUUGUUAUUCUACCCAUUUAUGGUUAUGGGGUUAUAAAUAUAAACAUUGAGGUCCCUAAGCUUACUCACACAUUCAACAACCAAUACCACAAAGGAGUGAGAGAAAGAGCUUAUAAGAAUCUCGAAACAACUUGUCGGAGUCGAAGUUUUAAAACUCCUUGGUAAAUAGAACAAUGGCUGGAGGUAACUCGAUUCCUUACGCUUACUUUAAACGUGUUUGUAUAUUUAGAACACCCUUAUAUGUGUAAACAAAAUUUUAGAAUUACUUUACGCCAUGGCCGCAAUUUGACAACACUGGAUAGAACAUUAUGACAAAAGUUGAUCCAUGUAGCCGAUCCCUCUUAGUGGGAUAAAGAUUGGUUGUUGUUGUAGUUGUUGUUUAAUUUCUAGUGUUAUGUGUAUUGUUGCUUCUAAUUCCAUGAGAAAAGGAUCAAAGAAACAUGAUAUUGUCUUUUACUGCUAUGUUAGGUCGUCGUUAGUAUGAUAGUUUCUGAUAGGAACCAAAAUCUGAAUGGAAAAGUGAAAUUAAAUUGACACUGAAAUCUGAUCUGUAUUUAGAUGAAGUGACCUUGUUUCAAACUUACAAUAUUCAACUAAAAAAAUAUAGGAAUAAAAUUAUGACUGAAACACUAUUCAAAGUUAGAUGUAAAGAUAACGGAAACUCUUGAGGAAAGACCAAUGCCUUCACUCUGUGGCGCCCUCUAGUUCCACAAAAUUCCAGCCAACUUGUUUAUUUCCUUUUCCAUAAACUCACAGAUUCUUAUUCAUGGGGCUAAUUUCAUUUCGCUACAAUCUCAUAGGCCUCGCGUUUCAUCCUAGCAGAACACAUUUCAUAUCCUGCCCAUUUUCUUAACUUAUUGCUCGUACAAAAGAAAAAAUGAGAGUGGGAGAGAAACAAUAGUGCUUUGCUGGCCUAAAAAAUAUUGGUAACUUCAAUGCGAUUCUGCAGACUGAAAAUGAGACCAGUAUUCUUUAACAAGCUUCCUGAACAUCGAUUCUUCUCUCUUCAUCAAGCUCAUUGGCUCAUCAUACUCCGCCAGUUUUCCUGUAAACACAGUCAGUGGCUUGCUUAUCUUUGAAGAAAACAAGUAAAUGAUCUAGCAUAUCCUUCACUAUUUUUUUUAUCACUUUAAGCUGUGAAAACCAAAUGCUGCAUUAAUUUUACGUGUUAUCUUUUAUGUGCUCUACAGGUCAAAAUCUUAAUUUAAAAAAACCUCAUUUACCUCUAACUAGGUAAAUGCAAUCAUAUCCUCUACUCAAACAACAAAAACAUGUUUGGUGUGUCAGAUAAACCUAUACUUGUUUGUAGCCUUACCUUGUUCAAGAUAUUAGGCAACCGUUAUGUAUCAUAAACAUAAUAAAUGGCUAUUGGAGCUAUCAAUGAGUUUCCAAAGAAUUGUUAAAUGAGGAUAGAGGGAGUGAGAGAUAGGAACCACUCCAAAAAAAAAAAACUUACCAUCACUUAUAGCAAGAACCAUAGUCAAUCCAUCACAGUUGGUACUUCUAUGUGCUCUGUGAUCCACCGUACAAUCUUGCAAACUCAACUCUAAUAGUUUUCUGCACAAUCAGGUCAGUUAGAAUUAUCGAUUGACGCAGUUGGCUUCGAUCCAAUCACUAAUAUCCUAUUCUACCUCAAAAGAGCACGGCCCAAACAGAAUAAACUGCCUUGUCCCAUACUUCCAGUUUUGAUCCAUCUUACAACAACUGACGUAACAUUUUCCACUUGUCAUUAAUAACUUGAGCAAAAAAUGCACUUCCAGGCAUGAGCGUAUAAGCCGUAUAACCAAUGAAUCUUGAAAAUUGUACCUGAAGAGUUUAAACCUUCUUUUUUCCCUUGGACAACUUCUCGUAAUUGACACUGCCUUGAGAAACCUCAUAUUGCAUCAAGAAACUAGUCAACAUUUUAUAUUCAGAAAAGAAACAAAAAUUAAGCUUCGUUUUACCUCCAUAUCUCUAUCAGGAUGUUGGAUAAAAGGGUCCAAGUUAAAUCUUACUGUCCCUAAAAAGGUAGGAUCCUGAGUUUAUCCCCAAACACCGUGGACUCAAAAUUCAUGAAGGCCAAAGAUGAGAUGGUCUAUGCCACGACACUAUGUUCCGUUCGCUGCGUUCCACAAAACGAAUAAAGCCCCAAUUAAGAGGUGAUUUUCCACUGCCUGUUCUGCCACCAAAUACAAUCUUGUGGACCAUGCCUUAAAUGUCAGUGAUCCCAUGUAAAGAACAAUGUGUCCGCAUAUCUGAUAUCGGUAUCUGGUAUGGACAAUAUGCUUAACAUUUUUAAAAAAGUAUAAACUUAACAUAUGAUUCCCAAAAUUUGUUUCAGAAGUAUAUCAAAAUUAACAAAAACAUCAUUGAGUGUGUUUUUUGUUAGUAAUUUCAGAGAUCUAACUGACUGAUAGAAGAAACAUUAGAAGACCAAACUAACUAAUAAAAUACACAUUCAAGGAUCAAACUAUAUUCAAGUUUGUUUUUUUAUUUCUAAUACAUUAAAGGACUAUAGUGAUAAUGAUUCACACAUUCAGGAACCAAAAUUAUUUAAUCCAAUUUUAAAAUUAGUACUAAUUAAUUACCUUCAAGUCAUUUAUUUCUAUUGUGCCCGAAGCUGGCCAAUUCAAAGGAGGGCGAUUUCCAUUUACUAUUUCUUCGGCCUCACUUUGUAUAUGCAUGUAUUGAUUUAGCCUCUCUACUGAUAUUAUGUGAUUAGCAAGAGUGCAUUGAUUUUGAACUGCAAAUACUAAAGCACCGUUUAGUGAUAGGCCAUAAGAUAGAGCCAUGCCAAUAAUUCCUGGAAUGAAGGAAGAUGAAAUUUAGAAACUUGCAUUAAGAUAUAUAAGUUACUUUAAAUGAGAAAAACUAGUACUUUUAGGAUAAUUACAAUAAUAGUAAUAAUUACAUUUCAGAGAUAAUAAAGACCAAAUUUUCACCUGAGGGGAAAGUUCCAGGGGGUAGCAUAACCAGGCAAAGUGUUGUAGCGGCGAGAACAACCGCACUGAUUGUUUCUAACCGUUGGAUCAACCACUCAUUUGAGGCAAAACUAUGAAAAAAAGCAGUAGCAUUAUUAUCAAUUAGAUUAAGGUUCUUUUCAAAAGAACGACCUUCCUCCUCAAAAGCCCUUAUUGUUACAGCUCCAGCAACAGUUUCGGCUACAUGAUUUGCUAAAGAGGAUUUUGUUGUGCCAUUCAACCGCAUCACUUCUUUUGCUGAGGCAAAGUAGUAUCUCUGCUUAAAACACAAAAAUGCACCUUACAGUACUUUCCUUCCAACAGGGAAUGGUUUAAAUUAUUUUAAAAACUAUUAAAAUGUUUCAAAGUUUAAUUUAAGACUUGUGUAUAUACUUAAAAAAGAAUGACCAUUGUUUACUUAAAUUUGAUUGCUUCCUUAAAAUGAAUUUGUUUAAUACCUGCAUGUGAAUAGCAACAUAAACCAUUGGUAUAGCCACUAUCAAGACUUGCCAUGUGACAACGCCAAACUAUAAGAUAAAUAAGUACCUUAUAGUGCUCAGCAACGGCAAAACUGAGGCUAAAUGGAAUGUCAAGAUCCACAAUACUCAGAUCAGAUGAUACCUAUACAGAGAAAUAACAAUUAGAACUUCAUUUCUUCUGGUAUGUUCCUUAGGAAGAAAAAGUAUAGUUUAUUAAGCUUACCCUACUAAGUACCCUUCCCAAUGGUGUAAAGUCAUAAAAUGACAUAGGUGCGCGGAAGAGGGAGUUCAUCAACUGUGAAAAUAAAUCUUUUGAUGAUUGAAGACCCAAAGUAACUAAACAUUGACAUCUGAUGAACAUGAAAACUGAUGAAAAAACACCAAUUAGGAAAUAAACAAAAACCAGUUGCAAUGUGCUAACAAGAGGAUUGUCAACAUUAGAAGCCAUCCAUGAGUUUUGCAAUAUCUGACAAAUCAUAAAAAUAAGGUAGCAAAGGGAAGCCAUAGAGAGUAAUAUAUAGCCUUUCAUCCGAUUCAGAUAUUGUAAGUAAGGCUUCAUUCCCAUGUCUCCCUUCCCUCUCUCUUCUUGCUGAAUUAAUUGAUUUCCAUUUGGUGCUUUAUACUGCUUUAACGCGGAAGCUUGCGUACUCUUUAUGGAAGUUAAACUUUUUUGGGAAAAAGUAGCACUCACAAGUUGGUCAGAACCAGCAGUCUCUUUGUGAGCAUUGACAAGACCAUUGAAUUCUUUGCUCGAGGUCAAUAACUGGUGAUAUGGACCAGCUUGUUGGAUUGCCCCAUUAGACAUCAACUGUAAAUAACAUAAAAUAAAUGUUUUAACAAUAAUUUUGUUAUAAAUCAGCCAUAUUAAUGAAUGCCUCACAAGAGUAGUUGAGCACUAUGAUUAAUUUAUGGGCUCCAAAUCAUUAGCACGAUAAAUUUUCUGAUGAUUUGUCAUACUUUGUUAUCAGAAAAGGUAGCUUAAGAAGUAUAUGUGAUCACUGGAAAUGUUUGACACUGUCUCUUGUUAUGUAGGUGGAUUAAUGGUGUGUGAGAGGGAACAUUAAUAUGUACAGGAGGAAGGAUCAUGUCAUUGCAUAUAUGAAGGCUCGAAGCUUCCAUCACUAUCAGGUUCAAAUUUGUAUGAUAAUAUAUUUGACAAGGUCACAUCAUUCACAUGUGCCACGUAUUUCAAUAUUAUGACAUAACCAAUGCCUUAAGAUGAAUGAGUUUACC
rnacentral:lncRNA from 1 species